rnacentral:rRNA from 1 species
UACGAGGGGGGCGAGCGUUGUUCGGAAUUAUUGGGCGUAAAGGGCGCGUAGGCGGUUGGAUAAGUCUUGUGUGAAAUCUUCGGGCUCAACUCGAAGUCUGCACGAGAAACUAUCUGACUUGAGUAUCGGAGAGGGCAGGGGAAUACCCAGUGUAGAGGUGAAAUUCGUAGAGAUUGGGUGGAACACCAGUGGCGAAGGCGCCUGCCUGGCUGAUUACUGACGCUGAGACUCGAAAGCAUGGGGAGCAAACAGG